CCCAAAUGUGGGCAGGAAGAGUCAGACGGGACUAAACAAGAACAACAAUUGUUUUCAGAAUCCCUGAUUUGUAGUAUAGAUUGGAUCUGCUACUGAUAAUCACUAACCCAAAGCCCUUUUUCUUCCUUCCCCACCUCCAUUAUUACCCCUGAGAUACUUGACCUCCUUUUAAACUUUUUCAUUGUUUUCUGUUUCUUACAUCACCAGGGUAUCCCAUGUAUCCCUCCCUCUCCCCAUCCUCAAGAGCCAUGUCAUGUGAUAAAGAGUAUUUUUUUUCUUUUAGGGAGGAAAAGAAAAAUGAGCACAACUGAUUGGUGCAGGUGGAAAAGGUGUGCAAUGUAUAACACCUGUGGACCUCUUAAGUCCUGGCUGAGGAAGGAAAAGAAAAGUGAGCACAACUGAUCAAUGCAUUUGGGCAAACGUGUGCAAUGUGUAACACCUGAGGACCUCUCACUUCCUGAAUGGGGGUCUUUUCCAAUGCGUCCCAUUUUCUCAUGAUGUGGCCACAGUCUUUAAGCUUCAGCUUCAGCAUUUGACCUUCCAGUGAAUGGACUGAAUUAAUUUCUUGAAGAGGUAGUGUUCUGGAUCAAGAGCAAAGUCAUCUGAAAUCACCUCCCUUCCUGGACGAGUUCCAAAGCACAGACACAACUCAAAGUACCUAAGAGCACUGCAAAAUCAGGCAUGAAUCCAUCAUGGACUCACAGGGAAUUGAUGACAUGCCAAAUUAAGGUUGGAGAGGAGAGCCUCGAGUAUCUACUUUGUAAGGAUUAGUACAGAGGGGAGGGAAAGAUACCCCAAAAAAACAGGACUUAAAAUGACUAUCAUUGGUUUGCAUUUGACUUUAAUUUUGCAAUCCUGAGAUAAUCAAUUUUACAUCUGACAAAUGAACAAAGACAAAAGCAACACUGAAAGUUUCAUAAAAGCAUGUUUCUUCAGUUUUGGCACAGCUAUAUAAGAAGAGUUCUUCUUGGGUGGGGGGGGAGUUACUACAUUCUACAGGAGGGAAAAACAGAAUUCGACAGGUUACAUAACAUUUGAAGGUCCAGGAGAAUUCUUGGUUUGGAUAGAAACGAUUAUCAUUCUCCGCUGGUAAAGCUGUUCCAACAAGAGUCCUCUGCCACAAAACAGAAAGAGUGGGCAGUUCAACAAAGUGUCUUGUGAAAUGGCUCCUCUCUGGCUUUUUGGCCUUGCUGUUCGAUCAUCGUUCCAGGAAACACCUUGGAAUCCUCUGAUGCCUCUGUUUGGUAAAUAACUAGGGGUGCCAAGUGAGCUUUGAGAUUACGCUUCAUUUAAAACAUUGAUAACUAGUUUGAAAGCUUCAUCUAUUUAUUGGGGAGACAACAAAAUCGAGUUUAAAAUAAUGUUUUUACAGAAUAAACCGAGAGGAUGAGAACACAAGUUAACACUGGGGACGUUAUUGCUUUAAGUUGCUGUUUAUAUUAAGUUUCCAAGCGGAACUGAUUUUAGUUGAAGAUAUUUGGGAACUCCAAGUCCCAUGCUGGAGCAUAACAGUGCAACAUUCUCAACAUCUGCAAUACUUUGUAUACACACUAAAUGAAGUCGUUUAAAUAUUUCUGUCUCAGGCAGAAGCAAAUGCUAACCUGAAGCUACAACACAUCCCCAGUGCAGCAAAAACAGACCAAGAGUUUGUCAUCUCAGACAACACUUACAGCCUGCAGAAAGGGGUAGAGAAUACUGUGCAUUUGAAAUCGAAGAGCGUUUCUGUCAGCAAACUAAGUCUAAUAAGAAGGGAAAGGAUAGUACGGACACACAAGAAUAUGUGAAGUAUAGUCUGCAGGGGGAACUCCCAAACUACAAGUGUUUGUCUAACAGGUAGAAAGCCACAGACAUAGAGAACCUCAGAGCUGCCCUAAGCCAAGCUGUGGCACUCAUCUAGUGUGGUUCAACUAAUAAACCAAAGAUGGAUCUAAAAGGAUCACUUCUGAAACGUACACAACAGUGGCGCUCAGAACGUCUGUCAGUAGUCAUCCAGAACACAUUAAUGUAUGAAAUGAGCUUCAAUUCCCCUGUGAGGUAGGUCCAGAUUUGUUAUCCUACAAGGACGUGAGGUACAGAGGAAUUAAGUCACUUGUCGAAGAGAACUCAGCAGAGCCCUGAAUUCGGCCAGGAAUGACUUGCAUUUGGAUUUCUAAACCAUUUGACUUUCCAUGUCUCUGUAGCAUCCAUCCUAUUCCCACAGAUCUGCAGGGAGUGGCUCUUUGAAAAAGUGAGCCAGAUGCUAAGAUGUGAAAUUCCUACCCUAUAAAAUGUCAAAAUGGGGCUUCCCUCCCACCCCCAUCUGCCCCUGUCAUCAUAGUUGGGAUUCUUGCCUGGAUAGCAGUUGGCAACUGCGCAUUCAGAUUCCAAAGACUCAAGGAGCCAGCAUCCCUCAGGGCCUUAGCCCCUCCCUGGUGAUGAGGCCCCUCUAGAAGAGGCAUUAGUGCUUACCACUAGGGAGGGGCUCAGGUUGAGGGGGAGGGAGGCAAGGGGAUGGAGAGGAACUUCAGCUUCCUUGGGUCUUUGGGAUCUAAAUAUGCAGCAGCCACUGUACACUUAGUUGAUCACCAAAUACCUAUCUAGUCAAUGGCUACUAAGUGUGAGGCACUGAGAAUUUAAGCUAUGUGUGGCAGAAUUAGGGAGGACCCAGGUGGUGGUGGCUCUUAGGUGUUCUUCCUCUAAGGUAAGAAUUCAGUAUUAAGUGUUCCACUCCCGAAUUUUCCACGAUCUGGGAGACUGGAACCAACAAAAUAGAAAACGUGUGCUCAGAGUCAGGAGAAA